UAACACGUGGGCAACCUGCCUGUAAGUUGGGGAUAACUCCGGGAAACCGGGGCUAAUACCGAAUGAUAGAAUGUGGCGCAUGCCACGCUUUUGAAAGAUGGUUUCGGCUAUCGCUUACAGAUGGGCCCGCGGUGCAUUAGCUAGUUGGUAGGGUAAUGGCCUACCAAGGCAACGAUGCAUAGCCGACCUGAGAGGGUGAUCGGCCACACUGGGACUGAGACACGGCCCAGACUCCUACGGGAGGCAGCAGUAGGGAAUCUUCCGCAAUGGACGAAAGUCUGACGGAGCAACGCCGCGUGUAUGAAGAAGGUUUUCGGAUCGUAAAGUACUGUUGUUAGAGAAGAACAAGGAUAAGAGUAACUGCUUGUCCCUUGACGGUAUCUAACCAGAAAGCCACGGCUAACUACGUGCCAGCAGCCGCGGUAAUACGUAGGUGGCAAGCGUUGUCCGGAUUUAUUGGGCGUAAAGCGCGCGCAGGCGGUCUUUUAAGUCUGAUGUGAAAGCCCCCGGCUUAACCGGGGAGGGUCAUUGGAAACUGGAAGACUGGAGUGCAGAAGAGGAGAGUGGAAUUCCACGUGUAGCGGUGAAAUGCGUAGAUAUGUGGAGGAACACCAGUGGCGAAGGCGACUCUCUGGUCUGUAACUGACGCUGAGGCGCGAAAGCGUGGGGAGCAAACAGGAUU
rnacentral:rRNA from 1 species